AUACGUAGGGGGCGAGCGUUGUCCGGAAUGAUUGGGCGUAAAGGGCGCGUAGGCGGCCCGGUAAGUCUGGAGUGAAAGUCCUGUUUUUAAGAUGGGAAUUGCUUUGGAUACUGUCGGGCUUGAGUGCAGGAGAGGUGAGUGGAAUUCCCAGUGUAGCGGUGAAAUGCGUAGAGAUUGGGAGGAACACCAGUGGCGAAGGCGACUUACUGGACUGUAACUGACGCUGAGGCGCGAAAGUGUGGGGAGCAAACAGGAUUAGAUACCCUGGUAGUCCACACUGUAAACGAUGAAUGCUAGGUGUAGGGGGUAUCGACCCCUUCUGUGCCGCAGUCAACACAAUAAGCAUUCCGCCUGGGGAGUACGGCCGCAAGGUUGAAACUCAAAUGAAUUGACGGGG
rnacentral:rRNA from 1 species